rnacentral:piRNA from 1 species
GCAGCAGCCAGCUGACCUCGUCCUUACUAA